UACGGAGGGUGCAAGCGUUAAUCGGAAUUACUGGGCGUAAAGCGCACGCAGGCGGUUUGGUAAGUCAGAUGUGAAAGCCCCGGGCUCAACCUGGGAAUUGCAUUUGAAACUGGCUAGCUAGAGUCUUGUAGAGGGGGGGAGAAUUCCAGGUGUAGCGGUGAAAUGCGUAGAGAUCUGGAGGAAUACCGGUGGCGAAGGCGGCCCCCUGGACCAAGACUGACGCUCAGGUGCGAAAGCGUGGGGAGCAAACAGG
rnacentral:rRNA from 1 species